UUGCCUACGGGGGGCAGCAGUAGGGAAUCUUCCACAAUGGACGAAAGCCUGAUGGAGCAACGCCGCGUGAGUGAAGAAGGGCUUCGGCUCGUAAAGCUCUGUUGGGGGGGAAGAAAGAUAGAGGCAGGAACUGGCCUUUAUUUGACGGUAAUUACCUAGAAAGUCACGGCUAACUACGUGCCAGCAGCCGCGGUAAUACGUAGGUGGCAAGCGUUGUCCGGAUUUAUUGGGCGUAAAGGGAGCGCAGGCGG
rnacentral:rRNA from 1 species